rnacentral:rRNA from 1 species
UGGGGAAUAUUGGACAAUGGGCGCAAGCCUGAUCCAGCCAUGCCGCGUGGGUGAAGAAGGCCCUAGGGUUGUAAACCCCUUUCAGCGGGGAAGAUAAUGACGGUACCCGCAGAAGAAGCCCCGGCUAACUCCGUGCCAGCAGCCGCGGUAAUACGGAGGGGGCUAGCGUUGUUCGGAAUUAUUGGGCGUAAAGCGUCCGCAGGUGGUGCCUCAAGUCUGCUGUCAAAGACCGAAGCUCAACUUCGGGCAGGCAGUGGAAACUGAAGCACUAGAGUACGGUAGGGGUAUAGGGAAUUUCCAGUGUAGCGGUGAAAUGCGUAGAGAUUGGAAAGAACACCAGUGGCGAAGGCGCUCUACUGGACCGUAACUGACACUCAGGGACGAAAGCUAGGGUAGCGAAAGGGAUUAGAUACCCGCGUAGUCC